rnacentral:rRNA from 1 species
AUUGAACGCUGGCGGCAGGCUUAACACAUGCAAGUCGAGCGGGGGAGGUUGCUUCGGUAACUGACCUAGCGGCGGACGGGUGAGUAAUGCUUAGGAAUCUGCCUAUUAGUGGGGGACAACAUUCCGAAAGGGAUGCUAAUACCGCAUACGCCCUACGGGGGAAAGCAGGGGAUCUUCGGACCUUGCGCUAAAAGAUGAGCCUAAGUCGGAUUAGCUAGUUGGUGGGGUAAAGGCCUACCAAGGCGACGAUCUGUAGCGGGUCUGAGAGGAUGAUCCGCCACACUGGGACUGAGACACGGCCCAGACUCCUACGGGAGGCAGCAGUGGGGAAUAUUGGACAAUGGGCGGAAGCCUGAUCCAGCCAUGCCGCGUGUGUGAAGAAGGCCUUUUGGUUGUAAAGCACUUUAAGCGAGGAGGAGGCUCUUAAGGUUAAUACCCUUGAUGAGUGGACGUUACUCGCAGAAUAAGCACCGGCUAACUCUGUGCCAGCAGCCGCCGUAAUAC